rnacentral:rRNA from 1 species
UACAGAGGGUGCGAGCGUUAAUCGGAAUUACUGGGCGUAAAGCGUGCGUAGACGGUAGCGUAAGUCAGAUGUGAAAGCCCCGGGCUCAACCUGGGAACUGCAUUUGAGACUGCUCUGCUCGGGUGCGGAAGAGGGAAGCGGAAUUUCCGGUGUAGCGGUGAAAUGCGUAGAUAUCGGAAGGAACACCAGUGGCGAAAGCGGCUUGCUGGGCCAGCACCGACGUUCAGGCACGAAAGCGUGGGGAGCAAACAGG